AUGGGCAACGUGGUGGAGGCGGCGGCCGCGAUCUCGCCGGAGCUCGGGGACGCGCUGGCCAAGGUGGCCGUGUUCGCGCUCGUGCAGGGGCUGGUCUACCUCAUCCUGCGCAAGUCCUCGGACGUCUUCUCCACGGCCAGCGCGGCGAGGUCGCUCAGCUUCCGGCCGAUGCGGAGCAUGAGCGUCCGCCGCGUGCUGGCGGCAUUCUCCGACGUCCCCGUCGGCGUUCCCGACGAUGCCGUCUCCUCCGUGGCGCCGCAGGCCGGUGAUGCCGACCGGCGGGCAGACUAG
rnacentral:rRNA from 1 species